rnacentral:rRNA from 1 species
AUGAACGCUGGCGGCGUGCCUAAUACAUGCAAGUCGAGCGAACAGACGAGGAGCUUGCUCCUCUGACGUUAGCGGCGGACGGGUGAGUAACACGUUGAUAACCUACCUAUAAGACUGGGAUAACUUCGGGAAACCGGAGCUAAUACCGGAUAAUAUAUUGAACCGCAUGGUUCAAUAGUGAAAGACGGUUUUGCUGUCACUUAUAGAUGGAUCCGCGCCGCAUUAGCUAGUUGGUAAGGUAACGGCUUACCAAGGCAACGAUGCGUAGCCGACCUGAGAGGGUGAUCGGCCACACUGGAACUGAGACACGGUCCAGACUCCUACGGGAGGCAGCAGUAGGGAAUCUUCCGCAAUGGGCGAAAGCCUGACGGAGCAACGCCGCGUGAGUGAUGAAGGUCUUCGGAUCGUAAAACUCUGUUAUUAGGGAAGAACAAAUGUGUAAGUAACUAUGCACGUCUUGACGGUACCUAAUCAGAAAGCCACGGCUAACUACGUG